AUACGUAGGGGGCGAGCGUUGUCCGGAAUUAUUGGGCGUAAAGCGCGUGCAGGCGGUCUAGCAAGUUGGAUGUGAAAGCUCCUGGCUUAACUGGGAGAGGUCGUUCAAUACUGUUAGACUAGAGAAUGGGAGAGGGAGGUGGAAUUCCGGGUGUAGUGGUGAAAUGCGUAGAUAUCCGGAGGAACACCAGUAGCGAAAGCGGCCUCCUGGACCACUUCUGACGCUAAGACGCGAAAGCUAGGGUAGCAAACGGGAUUAGAGACCCCGGUAGUCCUAGCCGUAAACGAUGUAGACUUGGCGUUGGCGGAGUUAAAUCUGCCAGUGCCGUAGCUAACGCGAUAAGUCUACCGCCUGGGGACUACGACCGCAAGGUUAAA
rnacentral:rRNA from 1 species